AGGUGAGUGCAAAUGCCAGAAGACCUUGCUCUUCAGCAGAGGCCAGGAGAGGUUACCAGAUCACCUGGAGCUAGAGUUACAGACAAGUGGCAACCCUUGUGAUGCUGCAGGGACACAAAGAGUGAAGACUGUGGUCAUGAUAAAGCUCUCGGGAGAACGUGCUUAUCUGUUAUAUUCUAGGAAAACUCCAAAGGAGAAUGCCAUGGCAGACUAAGUGCGGCCAAGAGACUCAACAUGCGGGACCACCCCAGACUUUGAAGAGAAAACAUGGGCCCUAUUAUGGUGAACAAACCUAAGCUGCAGCACUCCGGAGAGUGGAUCCUGCACCUUCCCUGGGUAGUACAGAGAGCUGACCCUACUGACAGAGGUGCAAAUGAACCAUCUGAGAAUGUGAGCAUUGGAUAUCUGGCCCCGUCCCUCAUCUGCCAUACAGUGGCAAGGGCAGGGGGGAAAUGCAUCCCCCACCCCGGCGGCCUGUAGCAGUUGGGAGAGUUGGCCAUGAGGUCCUAAGAGUGGGAGCUGUCCCUGCUCCUCACCAGCUGCGGCACUUGGGAGAAGGGCCCCCUACAUCUCGCCUGGGCAGCAUAGUAAGCUGGUCCUAAAGGUAGGUUUGGGAGAGCCACCCCGAGGAUGUGAAGGUGGGAGAACUGGCCCUGCCCCUUGCUCAUCAAUACCAGGAGUGAACUAGCCAGGGCAAUGCUGGAGAACUUAUCCUGAUGAUGAAGACAGGGAAGAACUGGCGGGCUGACCAACCCUGCAACUGCCCAGACCCGGAACUAGAGUUAUGAGUCGGCUCACACCAACAUCCACCCUAUCUGUGAUCUGCUGGAGAUCACAUGAAGGGACCAGUCCCGCGGAUGCAAAGAUACAGGAUCUCCACACACAGGACAACAACAGAAAAACCAAGAGGAGUUCAGUGAGGGCCCAGCAUCAAUAGUGUAGCAGAAACCAGAAGCUCGAACCAGAUCAACGACUCUUUGCAAUGAACCCUUGCAAGUAAAGCUGUAUGAGUAAAAGGGUUUGCUGUGUGACUCACUGUGUCACACUAUAGCUUCCAUGAUGAGACUUUUCCUUUUUUAUUUUCCUCUCUUAAAUUUUAUUUUAUUUUGGUGGGGGAGGUUACAGAGGCAGAGGGCAAGUAUGAAGGGACCGGAAGUGAAUGAGAUCAAGAUGCAUGAUGUGAAAGACACAGAAUAAAUAAAAAGAAAGUUAAAAAUUAAAUAUAAUUACAUUGUCCCCCCUUCUCCAACCCUUUCCAUAUGCACCUAACUCCAUCUCAAAUUCGUGGUCUCUUUUUCUUUA